CUCAAAGAUUAAGCCAUGCAAGUGGUUUGCAACCCGACGGUUUGAAUAAGUGUUCACGCAAACGUUCAAAACCUGAGGGAACACUCACUCACACACACACACACACACACACACACACACCUGCUUCAACGUCUGUUUCGCAUUGCGGCUCCCGUUCGUUGUUUGCGGUUUAUUCGAACAGCAAACUCGAGUGGUUUCGAGCACCGCGGCGAACCACAGAAUACGCCAUAAGUGAGUGUUCCUUGCUCUGCGACGUCGUCGCACAACCGCGGCGUGUCGCACGUACAAGGUUCACUUACGCAACUGCAGACAGCUGCUUAAUACAGUCACACUUGUCUUGACUUGGCACGAAACGAACAUGAUUGGAAGUGUUCACGCUCACACACACACACACACACACACACAGUAUGGUCGGACAUCUGGUCCGCCGUCGUUAAUCCGAUGGUGGACCUUUGGUCGACUUUUGUGCGUGAAUGCAGACCGGUCUGGAGUCGAGCGCUCACGACAACGGUCCCUGUGGAUUCCAUCUGUUUGUGUUCCUGGCGCUUGACGCUCCACACGAACCAACGUUUGGAUAACUCAGGGAAAGUUUGGCUAAUACGUACGAGGAUCUUAUUCAMUUGGUUCACUGCCGACAUUGGUCUUCGCCAYACACACACACACACACACACACCUAAAAGAAAGCGAGGUCCACGGCAGUUGUUCCCUUUGGCUCUUAUUGGACGUGCGUUGAACCCUGUGGCUGCUGUCGCGGGGAACAGYGUGCAUCUGCAACAUGAGAGACAAUAAGAACGCGUUCGGCAGGCUGCAUUUUGUUGCCUGCUUUAGUCGAGCGGACUUGCGAGGAAUCAUACUUGCAAGCGUGUCAUACAAGCAUCUACAGCAUCAAGUCACAGGGUCGGCAAGUGUACUAUUGAACCUUCGAAGCAGUCACGCAUACGGAAGAGUAGUUUCUGAUCCCAUAGAAGGAGCACAGGACUCUGAGAGACCGCUCUUAGUUCUAAGGAACGCAGCAGGCGCGUAAAUUGCCCAAUGCUAGUCCCUUUCCCUCUGUCAUCGAGGGGAUCGACUGGUUGGGAACAGACACCCAAACAACAGGGCAGUGCAUACGAGUAACCAUUCUGCGCACACACACACACACACACACACACGCGUGCGCACCUGUGCGCGGCGCGCUGGAUGGUUGAUCGUGCAUUGUCCUGGGCGCUGUGUCGSUCGCCGUUGUCGUCGUCGACGACGUUGUCGCCUCUUGAGCGGCGCGUCGCCACGGGCAACGUGACGACAGACAUAGUUGAAGCAACCAAACCACUACAACGUGUCCCAGGCGACGUUCCCGUGUCUUUGGACGCGGGGCGUGUGCCGGCACACAACAACAAUCCUUGUUCACCACCUUCACGGCAAGACCGUUUCCUGCGCCCACCUCCUCGGAGGCGCCAGCAGUUUGCGGCUUGCGGUCGGUGCCAAACCUCGAUGCAUAUUCAUUGAGGCAGUGACAAGCUGUAACUUUUUAGUAUCAAAACAGACAAGGGCCUGGCAUUGCUCCCUUCUGGGRUUGCAGUCGCUGGCCCUUUGUGUGCUCAAUUGGAAUGCGGUGAGUCUAAGCAAUUCAGAAACCAGGCUAACGUUUUCGGACGUGGUCCGUAUCUGAACUUCAAGUGGAGGGCAAGUCUGGUGCCAGCAGCCGCGGUAAUACCAGCUCCACUAGCCUAUACAAUCAUUGUUGCGGUUAAGAGGCUCGUAGUUGGAUUGGACGCAAGGUUCUUCUCGCGCCGACAGGCGUGCWAAGCUUUCUCCUUCUAUCGUCGCUCGUUGGCCUCAAGCGGAGCAACGGUCGGGAGGGUGCUACCCAAGCUUCUUUUCGGCUCGUGCACACACACACACACACACACACACACACACACACACACACACACACACAUGUGCGCACAGUCGAACAGAUUCUUUAGCCUCUCCUUAACGGUUGUCUUCUCUCAUAUGAGAACUUCGAGGACUACGGCGAAGAAGACGUGGCAGCGCGCCCGUGGUACCGGAAGGAUUUGCACACCCUUCAUUUUGUUGAGCCGCGCCACCACCCAAGGCGUUGGACCAUGGUGCGCAACAAACUKAUGUUGGGUCGUUGCAUGCUUCUUGAUGUCGUCGCGAACACACACACACACACACACACACACACCCCCUUCAACACUGUGAACAAAUCAGAGUGUACCAAACAUGCCGCGUAUCGUGCAAUGAAUGUCUUAUCAUGGAAUGUUGCACAUGCUCUCUUUGAGCGUCACUCGGCUGUCUGGUCGCGURCGACACAUACACACACACACACACACACACACACACACACACACACAGCAUGUGCUCCCUGCAUCAUACAGUUGCUUGUAGCAAUGGUCGUGCCUCGCGGACGGUAUCGUGCGACGCUCCGAAAUGUCGAUGGGGAUAGUUGGAGUCAAGAGUACUGCCGGGCGAGCGGUGAAAUGCAUUGACCCUGGCAAGACUACCAGAAGCGAAAGCGCUUGGCUAGGCUAUCUUCUUUGUGAAACUCCCACGCACGUCGUGCUAUUCGCUACCUUGACGCACCAGCUGGUCACACACCCACACACACACACACACACACACACGUUGUGCUCACAGUCCGGUGCAGUCGAGUCGUGGUUGUGCGCGAUGGUGUAAGCCGUGGUCGAGACGUCACGUUUACAAUGAAGAACGAAGGUUGGGGGUUCAAAGAGGAUCAGAUACCCUCGUCGUCCCAUUGUUUACAUCAAACGAUGGGCUCUCGAUUGCAUUUUCUCUUGUCAUCACCUCAACCUGCAAAUGGGCUUGUAGCUUCUUACCUUCAUUGGCAUGUGGCUCGCCUUUUGUGUACGGUUGUCUUUGACAGAUUUGUGUUAGCGUGCGCCUUUGUGUGUGCACUCGACUGUCUAAGCUUUGCGCUCGAUUGGUGAGAUGUAAGCACCAUGCUGGCUGGCCCAGGCGCUCGGAGCCCCGCGCCCUGCGUUGGGAGCCCGGGUGAUCUUGGUGUUCAGAUCAGCAUUACAAUGGUGUGAGGCACGCGUUAGGCAUGCGCUUCCUGCAGAAAUGUCUGAGACAUUCCCUCCGGGGUAGUAUGCACGCAAGUGUGAAACUUGAGGAAUUGACGGAAGGGCACCACAAGAACGCGUGGAGCAUGUGGCUUAAUUUGACUCAACGCGGGAAAUCUUACCGGGUCCGGACACACUGAGGAUUGACAGGCGCUUGCAUAGCGCGGCCCACGGCUUGCCGUGGUCCGUCGCCAAUGCUUUCAAAUAUGCUAGUCCUUUCAUGAUUGUGUGAUAGGUGGUGCAUGGCCGUUCUUAGUUCGUGGAGUGAUCUGUCUGCUUAAUUGCGUUUCACAAGGGACUUGCAUGGCAUUCGUUGGGCCGUGGUGCCCUCCACCUGUUGCCCCUCCAUGGGGCCGGGRGAGUGUUCGCGCCCGGCCUCCAACCGCCAACAGUCCCGAAGGCAACGAACGUGACCGCAGCCUCUUGUUACCUCUCUGUUUUCCACUUCGGGGCGGCCUUUGCCUUCGGGCGGGGUGUCCUGCCUCGUUGAGAGAGGUAAACUAGAGGGACCGCCGACGUUUUCAAACCGGAGGAAGGUUGCGGCAAUAACAGGUCUGUGAUGCCCUUAGAUGUUCCGGGCUGCACACGUGCUACAAUGAUUAUUGCAGUGAGCAUCUUCACAAGUUCGUGGGAUGUCUGUGCUCGGCCCAAAAUGUUGUGUUGGCCGCGGCCUGUCGGCGAGGGUGUCUGCCUGCGGGUCUUCGGGCCCUGUGGGCGGAGCAUCCUCCUGAUGGCUGGGGUCACCGGCUUUGGGUUGCAGCGCGCAUCCGUUAUCACGACACGCCUGGUUCGAAAGUAAUCAGGUAAUCAAUUCGAAGUAAUGAUUUCCACCCGCACUUCUGAGCGCUGAGAGGUGGAGACCUUGCGUCAUCCACCGCUUGGCGUGUGCUCCAUGACUUCGUGGUGGGGACAGACCCUUGUUAAUUGUUGGUCUCGGUCUCAACUAGGAAUGCCUUGUACGGGUCUUUGGUUCAACAAACCACCCGGAAUAUGUCCCUGCCCUUUGUACACACCGCCCGUCGCUCUUACCGAUGGACUUCUCUGUGAGUUUGAGGGACUAGGGCAUCAUGCAGCAUUGCUGCGAGGUGACCGAUGGAAACUUAAACGAACAGUGUGGUCUAAAGGAAAGAGAAGUCGUAACAAGGCA
rnacentral:rRNA from 1 species